rnacentral:lncRNA from 1 species
AGGUAAGUUCGGCAGUCUGACCAGUGGUUUUUAACUGGGAGCUACUCGCAUUGAUUCGAUCUCUGACGAGUUAAUGGCAUAUCCCUUCUACUGAUCUCACUUACCUGGCCAACCUAGUGAGUUAGGUUUUGAUUAGAUCACUUGGUGAUUAGGGCUCACCCAUGUCAUUAGAUAAAUCAGUGUGAUUGAUUUAGGUGCUCCUAAUGCCGGCUUUAAUUAAAUCCUUUUUAAUCUGACUUGGUGAAGUCAGUGGGAGGAUUAAAAUUGGCUGGUUAAUUUCUUCUCUUCUAUCCUUUAAUAAAAUU